rnacentral:rRNA from 1 species
GGUUAAGCGACUAAGCGUACACGGUGGAUGCCCUGGCAGUCAGAGGCGAUGAAGGGCGUGCUAAUCUGCGAUAAGCGCCGGUAAGGUGAUAUGAACCGUUAUAACCGGCGAUACCCGAAUGGGGAAACCCAGUGUGACUCGUCACACUAUCAUUAACUGAAUCCAUAGGUUAAUGAGGCGAACCGGGGGAACUGAAACAUCUAAGUACCCCGAGGAAAAGAAAUCAACCGAGAUUCCCCCAGUAGCGGCGAGCGAACGGGGAGGAGCCCAGAGCCUGAAUCAGCAUGUGUGUUAGUGGAAGCGUCUGGAAAGGCGCGCGAUACAGGGUGACAGCCCCGUACACAAAAGCGCAUGUGCUGUGAGCUCGAUGAGUAGGGCGGGACACGUGGUAUCCUGUCUGAAUAUGGGGGGACCAUCCUCCAAGGCUAAAUACUCCUGACUGACCGAUAGUGAACCAGUACCGUGAGGGAAAGGCGAAAAGAACCCCGGCGAGGGGAGUGAAAAAGAACCUGAAACCGUGUACGUACAAGCAGUGGGAGCCCCACCACUAAGCCAGUGGUGAACUCCACAUACGCAUCCUUUGCUGAGGAUACGGUUAACGGAGCGAAAGCGACGUUCAACCGCAAAAGAAGCAGAGGGGGCUUAGUGGUGGGGUGACUGCGUACCUUUUGUAUAAUGGGUCAGCGACUUAUAUUCUGUAGCAAGGUUAACCGCAUAGGGGAGCCGGAGGGAAACCGAGUCUUAACCGGGCGUUAAGUUGCAGGGUAUAGACCCGAAACCCGGUGAUCUAGCCAUGGGCAGGUUGAAGGUUGGGUAACACUAACUGGAGGACCGAACCGACUAAUGUUGAAAAAUUAGCGGAUGACCUGUGGCUGGGGGUGAAAGGCCAAUCAAACCGGGAGAUAGCUGGUUCUCCCCGAAAGCUAUUUAGGUAGCGCCUCGUGAAUUCAUCUCCGGGGGUAGAGCACUGUUUCGGCUAGGGGGCCAUCCCGGCUUACCAACCCGAUGCAAACUGCGAAUACCGGAGAAUGUUAUCACGGGAGACACACGGCGGGUGCUAACGUCCGUCGUGAAGAGGGAAACAACCCAGACCGCCAGCUAAGGUCCCAAAGUCAUGGUUAAGUGGGAAACGAUGUGGGAAGGCCCAGACAGCCAGGAUGUUGGCUUAGAAGCAGCCAUCAUUUAAAGAAAGCGUAAUAGCUCACUGGUCGAGUCGGCCUGCGCGGAAGAUGUAACGGGGCUAAACCAUGCACCGAAGCUGCGGCAGCGACGCUGAUGCGUUGUUGGGUAGGGGAGCGUUCUGUAAGCCUGCGAAGGUGGCCUGUGAGGGUUGCUGGAGGUAUCAGAAGUGCGAAUGCUGACAUAAGUAACGAUAAAGCGGGUGAAAAGCCCGCUCGCCGGAAGACCAAGGGUUCCUGUCCAACGUUAAUCGGGGCAGGGUGAGUCGACCCCUAAGGCGAGGCCGAAAGGCGUAGUCGAUGGGAAACGGGUUAAUAUUCCCGUACUUGGUGUUACUGCGAAGGGGGGACGGAGAAGGCUAUGUUGGCCGGGCGACGGUUGUCCCGGUUUAAGCGUGUAGGUGUGUGUUCCAGGUAAAUCCGGUUCACUUUAACACUGAGGCGUGACGACGAGGCACUACGGUGCUGAAGCAACAAAUGCCCUGCUUCCAGGAAAAGCCUCUAAGCAUCAGGUAACAUCAAAUCGUACCCCAAACCGACACAGGUGGUCAGGUAGAGAAUACCAAGGCGCUUGAGAGAACUCGGGUGAAGGAACUAGGCAAAAUGGUGCCGUAACUUCGGGAGAAGGCACGCUGACACGUAGGUGAAGUGAUUUACUCAUGGAGCUGAAGUCAGUCGAAGAUACCAGCUGGCUGCAACUGUUUAUUAAAAACACAGCACUGUGCAAACACGAAAGUGGACGUAUACGGUGUGACGCCUGCCCGGUGCCGGAAGGUUAAUUGAUGGGGUCAGCGCAAGCGAAGCUCCUGAUCGAAGCCCCGGUAAACGGCGGCCGUAACUAUAACGGUCCUAAGGUAGCGAAAUUCCUUGUCGGGUAAGUUCCGACCUGCACGAAUGGCGUAAUGAUGGCCAGGCUGUCUCCACCCGAGACUCAGUGAAAUUGAACUCGCUGUGAAGAUGCAGUGUACCCGCGGCAAGACGGAAAGACCCCGUGAACCUUUACUAUAGCUUGACACUGAACAUUGAGCCUUGAUGUGUAGGAUAGGUGGGAGGCUUUGAAGUGUGGACGCCAGUCUGCAUGGAGCCGACCUUGAAAUACCACCCUUUAAUGUUUGAUGUUCUAACGUGGACCCGUAAUCCGGGUUGCGGACAGUGUCUGGUGGGUAGUUUGACUGGGGCGGUCUCCUCCUAAAGAGUAACGGAGGAGCACGAAGGUUGGCUAAUCCUGGUCGGACAUCAGGAGGUUAGUGCAAUGGCAUAAGCCAGCUUGACUGCGAGCGUGACGGCGCGAGCAGGUGCGAAAGCAGGUCAUAGUGAUCCGGUGGUUCUGAAUGGAAGGGCCAUCGCUCAACGGAUAAAAGGUACUCCGGGGAUAACAGGCUGAUACCGCCCAAGAGUUCAUAUCGACGGCGGUGUUUGGCACCUCGAUGUCGGCUCAUCACAUCCUGGGGCUGAAGUAGGUCCCAAGGGUAUGGCUGUUCGCCAUUUAAAGUGGUACGCGAGCUGGGUUUAGAACGUCGUGAGACAGUUCGGUCCCUAUCUGCCGUGGGCGCUGGAGAACUGAGGGGGGCUGCUCCUAGUACGAGAGGACCGGAGUGGACGCAUCACUGGUGUUCGGGUUGUCAUGCCAAUGGCACUGCCCGGUAGCUAAAUGCGGAAGAGAUAAGUGCUGAAAGCAUCUAAGCACGAAACUUGCCCCGAGAUGAGUUCUCCCUGAGACUUUAAGUCUCCUGAAGGAACGUUGAAGACGACGACGUUGAUAGGCCGGGUGUGUAAGCGCAGCGAUGCGUUGAGCUAACCGGUACUAAUGAACCGUGAGGCUUAACCUU